GAUCCUGGCUCAGGAUGAACGCUGGCGGCGUGCUUAACACAUGCAAGUCGAACGAAGCACUUAAGACAGAUCUUUUCGGAGUGAAGACUUUUGUGACUGAGUGGCGGACGGGUGAGUAACGCGUGGGUAACCUGCCUCAUAGAGGGGGACAACAGUUGGAAACGACUGCUAAUACCGCAUAGUAAGAAGGAUUCGCAUGUUUUCUUCUUGAAAGCUUUUGCGCUAUGAGAUGGACCCGCGU
rnacentral:rRNA from 1 species